AGCAGCAGCCGCGGGAAUACGUAUGUCACGAGCGUUAUCCGGAUUUAUUGGGCGUAAAGCGCGUCUAGGUGGUUAUGUAAGUCUGAUGUGAAAAUGCAGGGCUCAACUCUGUAUUGCGUUGGAAACUGUAUAACUAGAGUACUGGAGAGGUAAGCGGAACUACAAGUGUAGAGGUGAAAUUCGUAGAUAUUUGUAGGAAUGCCGAUGGGGAAGCCAGCUUACUGGACAGAUACUGACGCUGAAGCGCGAAAGCGUGGGUAGCAAACAGGAUUAGAUACCCGAGUAGUCCCUGUCUCUUAUACA
rnacentral:rRNA from 1 species